UUUUGCAUYAUGCUGUUUCGAAGAUAUAAUAUAUUUAUUUUACACCGAAAAAGUUUGAUUUUUAUUUCAGUUAAUUAGCUAUUUAUUAACGGGUAGUGUUUAAAACUGAUGUAACGUUGUGAUAAAUUAGUCGGUUUCUUUUAUAUCUGUUUAUUAAUGUAAUUUUCAUUUUACUUAUAUGGCAGUGAGGUCUUAUAAGAGUAUAUAUACAAUAUAGAUUAUGGUUUAAACAGGGUUAAAAUUCCCCUUUUGUUGGAGUUUUGUUACAAUUUAUUAUAAAGUUGUGUGGUAUUAUACUUAUACAUUAAUUAUAUUUAAUAUUUUGGUUUAUUUAUGAUACAAUUAGUAAUGAUAUAAAUUUUAUUGUUUCUCAAACAUAUUCCGUCUGUUUAUUAAAAACAUUUCUAUAUAAAAUAUUUUAUAGUAGAACCUGCUCGAUGUUUAAUUAUAAAUGGCCGCAGUAUUUUGACUGUGCGAAGGUAGCAUAAUUAAUUGCCCUUUAAUUGGGGGCUUGUUUGAAAGGUUUGACGAGGUUAUUGUUAACAUUAAGUUUAUAUUUGAAAUUAAUUAUGAGGGCACAGAAUCCUCUUAGUUUAAUUAGACGGAAAGACCCCGGGAUCUUUCAAUUUUGCCUGGGGCAGGUUAUAUUAUUUCAAUUUUGUUAUUGAGAUCCUAUUUUAGGUUUAUUGGUUUAAGUUACCCCGGGGAUAACAGUGUAAUAAUUUAUUAGAGAUCAUAUCGAUUAAAUUGUUUGCCACCUCGAUGUUGACUUAGGUAUAUAGUUGGGCGCAGUAGUCUUAUUAUGUGGUCUGUUCGACCUUAGUUACCUCCAUGAGUUGAGUUAAGACCGGCGUGAGCCAGGUCGGUUCUUAUCUAUU
rnacentral:rRNA from 1 species